CUUUGCUGGCGACCGGCGCACGGGUGAGUAACGCGUAUCCAACCUGCCUUUACUCGGGGAUAGCCUUUCGAAAGAAAGAUUAAUACCCGAUAGCAUAAUGAUUCCGCAUGGUUUCAUUAUUAAAGGAUUCCGGUAAAGGAUGGGGAUGCGUUCCAUUAGGUUGUUGGUGAGGUAACGGCUCACCAAGCCUUCGAUGGAUAGGGGUUCUGAGAGGAAGGUCCCCCACAUUGGAACUGAGACACGGUCCAA
rnacentral:rRNA from 1 species